UCCAUGUCAAUAUUGGCGGCUGCCUUAAA
rnacentral:sRNA from 1 species